AUGGUACGACUUUGGCUUCAUGCUUGGCACCCAGACACCUUUCACAUGCAGGAUUGCCAACAGUGGGACCAAGAGGACUUUCUCUUGGACUUCUUCCACUCUGGGGAGCUGAACACGAGGCAGUGCGCAGCCCUUGGUUCUCUCUGCAGAAACUUGAAGACUGCUGUGAGAGGGCCAGAUGGGAGUAAUCUUUUUGGGGAAAAGCAUGGAGGAAACAUGUGUGGAUGGCUUCCUUUCUGCUUUUGGAGGAGCCGUUCCUGGUGCCUGGUGGGGCUACCUCUGUGCUCCACCAGUUCUAUGGGUCCAUGGGCAGCCAGUGCUCCCACCAGGACCCAGGGCACGUGCUCAAGAAAGAAGGUGAAUGCAGCAGCCCUGCACAUCUGAGCAAUAAUGAAUUGCUGUCGUGAACGUCUGAAAGGAGAUAAAGCAGCAGCAAACUCUUCUCCCCUGUUGCAGAUAAACCACUAUUAACAGCCGAGGCUUUCUGGAAUGAAAAGGGUGACUCUCCAUUGAAAGCAGCGAUAAAUCCUGGCCAUCCUGCAUAAUCCAGUCCACCGUAUCGGGAAAUCUCAUGGGAGCUGGCAGCACUGAGAGCAGCAAGGUCUUUUCAUGCUACAGUUCUCCCGUGGAUGGAUAAUCUCCAUGGCCAACAACUGCAAAUGCUGGAGGUUGGAUCCUGAGUGCUAUUACCUCGGCUUUUACUCCCCUUCCUCCUCAGCAAAACCACUGCUGCCUUCUGCAGGAAGACAGGGUGUACCUGCAAACUUUGCCUGCAAAGGGGAUCACAGGGCUGCAUUCUGUAUCUGCGUGAGCAAGAAUAUCAUACAUCAUCUUCCUGCUGAUCUGGCAGUGCAAGCAGCCCUGCAAAGCAGCGAUUUAAUGCACUUCUCAGUGCUUGAGCUUUUCGUCUUGCUAUGCUUAACCUGAUAUAUUGUUAUUUGAUGCAGAACAGUAGGGGCAGGUACAAAGAGGUAGCAUGAAAAUAAAAGGUCAGCGGGUGCCAGGUGCAUGUAAAGGCUAAAUUGGUCUUUCAUCAAAUCUAAUAAAUAUGCCUUGUGAGUGGGGUGGGAAAUUCCUUUCCUGAAAUGCUGAACGGUGUCCCUUCCUCCAGAGCCUCAGCCCAGGGCUGUUGGAUGAAUCCAGGAUGGGGCUGCUCAGUGCAAGGGGACUGCAGUGACAGCCAAGGGAAGAGCCAGGCUCAGCCCCCACUGCGCAUGAGGCUGCAUUUUCCAAUGUUCCUAAAAAUAUUCCUGAGCCUCUAAGUGCAAAACUGGUGGUUUGGAUUUGGAAACCAAAAUGGAAACAGAUGAGCUGCAUCUCAUCUUGUUUUCUCACCUCCUCUCUUUUCUCUCUUCACUGGUUCCAGACUGGGGAGAGAAUGGCAAAGGAAUGACCAAAAAUGAAGAAAAACAAAACAAGGAAUCAUUUUUUCCCUUUUUUUCUUCCCCCCUCCCCCCCGUUUGAGAGGCUAUAAUGUUUUUAUAAGCAUAGAAAUCUGGGUGUGCUUCAUUUCUUUUCCUUAAAGGAUUAGGAAAUGGGAUACUUUGGCCCCUGAUUCUCCUCUGCCUCUCAUGGAGAAGUGAAAUCCAUCCAGGCUGCGUCCAGAAGCAUUUCAUGUUAUAACCUUUGCAGGCCUGGAGAAGCAGAGGCAGCAGGCAGAUCUUCCAGGUGCCUCCACUUCUGGGAUGUCCAUCCCUGGUCAGCUUAGGCUUGGUUUGCAGAGAGGCUUUGCGGCACAGAUGUGCCAGGCUCCAAACGAUGGAUGGAGGCCCUCAGGGUGCUCUGCGUGCCCAGAGGAACUCAGCAAGGUGCUGGGAUGUAACUCAGGGCCAUCCAUGGCUCUGCUGUGGUGCUGCUGCUCCAUCUGGAGAUGCUGGUGCUCAGCUUUGUGCUUGCAGGUACAUCAGUUUCUCACCUCUGGAAGGUGCUGUUGAGAUGCUCCUCAUCUCUGCCACACAUCCAAAGCCUCCACUUCCUCCCCCAUAUCUGCACUUGGCAGCUCCCUGCCCUCAGCACAAGAAACCUCUGGCCAUAGGAACCAGGCAGCAGAGUGAGAGGAGAGAGGAACAACACGAGACAAAUUCCCCAUUAAUUCAAGAGAUCAUUAUUAGCUGCUAAAACCAGGAGGGUGAGCUGUUUCGGGGCGUCAGCAGGAGUUAAAUCCUUGCUAUUGAUUCUCUCCCUGCACGGCCAUGCAUUACCAUGACUUACACCACCGAGGAGAAAUGGAAGUGGACGUGAAGCAAAAGUGGGGACGGGAGGGGAAUGUUUGCAUGCUUAAAAUAUUUAUGCCGCAAAUUAACAUGUGUUUUAAGCCUGCGAUUCUUCAAAUAUUUAUCCAGCAUGAAUAUUUUGAAAACUGCAUUAAAAUUUGCCACUGGUGCUUUAUUCAUUAGGGGUGUUCAGCAGCCACAGACAGUACUGCUUGCUAAAUCUGUAAUGCAUCCAUGCAGAGACAGCAUCUGGAGGAUGUUGCCUGAGCUGUGAGAAAGAGCUUUCUGCUCCUGCUUCCAAAGCGGGGAGCCUGGAAUGAGUUCCUUACCCACAUCGACUUCAGUUGUGACUGCAGAUGUCACAUUCAGCAGCACAAGCACCUGGUUUUGACCCAAGCAAAAAUAAUCUGAUGGGAGUGGGUGAGACCAGUGCUCCCAUAGGCACUGGGAAAGGGGAGUUAGGGACUGGGGGAGGCAGACCCAUGCAAUCCUGGUGGCUGCUGUGGGUCUGAUGGAACUGUGGGAGCAAACCAGGCUCUGCCAAGCACAAAGGCAAGAUGUUCCUUCUUGUAUAUGCCAGCCCCGUGCACAGAGGUUUUAUAAUGGGGAACAGGGGGUGGUCCACCCCAUAGCAGCUAUCGGGGCUAUUGCUAUGGCUUGAUAUCCAACAUUACAGCCUUCACUGGGGGGCACCAAAAUCCCUGCCCAUGUGCAGGGCAGAGCAGAAUAUGGGAUUUCAGCUGCUCACAAUCUUCCUGCUCUGCGCCCGCUGCUG
rnacentral:lncRNA from 1 species